AGAUGAUAAAUCGGGAGCUGGCGGAUGUCGGCUGAGAGUGCAGCAAUGCCGCUGCAGACCGUGCGAACCUGUUGGAUAAUGCCAGCGCAGGGAAUGUGACGAUGAAAAGAG
rnacentral:ncRNA from 1 species